AUACUUACCUGACAGGAGAGAAACCAUGAACAUGAAGGUGGUUUUCCAAGACAAUGGAUUAACCAUUGCACUUUGGAUGUUAUGACCCCUGAAAUUUUGCCAAAUGUAGGGAACUGGACUGAAGAAUUUAUGGUAGUGGGGAACCAUAUUUGUACUCUUCCCCU